CCAGACUCCUACGGGAGGCAGCAGUGGGGAAUAUUGGGCAAUGGGCGCAAGCCUGACCCAGCAACGCCGCGUGAAGGAAGAAGGCUUUCGGGUUGUAAACUUCUUUUCUCAGGGACGAAGCAAGUGACGGUACCUGAGGAAUAAGCCACGGCUAACUACGUGCCAGCAGCCGCGGUAAUACGUAGGGGGCAAGCGUUAUCCGGAUUUACUGGGUGUAAAGGGAGCGUAGACGGCAAUACAAGUCGGAAGUGAAAUACCCGGGCUCAACCUGGGAACUGCUUUGGAAACUGUAUGGCUGGAGUGCUGGAGAGGUAAGCGGAAUUCCUAGUGUAGCGGUGAAAUGCGUAGAUAUUAGGAGGAACACCAGUGGCGAAGGCGGCUUACUGGACAGUAACUGACGUUGAGGCUCGAAAGCGUGGGGAGCAAACAGGAUUAGAUACCCGCGUAAC
rnacentral:rRNA from 1 species